ACCUCUACCGUUCCACUUUGUGUGUGUAUAUAUAUGCAAGUAGUUAUUCAUCGAAGUAUAUCUGAUAUACGCAUUUGUUUCAAAGUUCAAACAAAGACCAAAAAAAUGGAGAAGAAAUUCUUUGGGCUUUUGCUUUUGCUACUCUUCGUAUUUGCUUCUGAGAUGAAUAUUGUGACUAAGGUUGAUGGUGCAAUAUGCAAGAAACCAAGUAAGUUCUUCAAAGGUGCUUGCGGUAGAGAUGCCGAUUGUGAGAAGGCUUGUGAUCAAGAGAAUUGGCCUGGCGGAGUUUGUGUACCCUUUCUCAGAUGUGAAUGUCAGAGGUCUUGCUAAGCACUGCAAGCCACGGACGAUAAAAAGAAGUACUUGUAAUGAAGCUAUGGGUCAAUAUUUUUCAAUCUUAUAAUAUUAAAUAAAUUGUUGUAACUAUUUUAAGUGUGUAAUAAAUCUACGUGGGUUUAAACUCCACAAUUGCUUUUGAAAUAAUGAUUUACAUAUAAGUUUCAGUACUUUAUUUUCUAAAGCUCCUUUAUUGAGCAUUUAUAUAGUUAUACUCUUUUCGUUCUA